ensembl:lncRNA
GUAGACAUGGCAGAAAAAGAUAAGUGAACUUGAAGACAGGAUAAACUGAACCACAGAGAGAAAAAAAAAAAUCAAAGAAAACAGUGACAGAGUUUUAGGGACCUGUUGGACAAAUGGUCUUAUAUGCAUGUAAUUAGAAUCCGAGAAAAAGAGUAGGAGGAGUGCGGAUAUUUGAAAAAAAACAUUGACCAAACAUUUCCCAAAUUUGAUUAAAAAUAUAAUCCCAUAGAUCCAAGGAACUCCAUGAAUUUCAACCAGGAUAAAUACACACACAAAACCACACUAAGGCACAUCACAAUCAAAUUGCUGAAAACCAAUGGUGAAGCAAAAAAUCCUUAAAUGAAGCCAGAGAAAAAUUUUAGCCUGUGGCAAGGAUCAAAUCGGUGGUAUGGCUGUCACAUCCAUCGUGGGAAACUCUGAGUGGGCUAAGAGGGGAAUCUUCCCCACUGGGCCAACUGACUCAGGAAACAGAGACUUGAAGGAGUGUUUGCCCAUCUAAGUCUGAUAGACCCAACUUACCUGUGAGUCAUUCCCCCAAAACACAGAGGCUUGAAGGAAGUGGGGGGCACUGGGGGCAAGAGAGGAAGGAAGUUCAGCAAAGGUAAAAGAUAUGUCUAAAAAACUAUGAAUGUGGCUAUUGGUACAUAGAGUCAUCUAGAAUCAAACAGAUAAGAAGACUGCUCCAUCUUUAAAUGAGUUGUACUGCCCCCAAAAAAUCACAAUCCUGGACUGAAAAGACCUCUGACUGUUUGAGGUUUAGCUCUUCUUGGGCUUGCAAAAUUCUACAGGCAGGAAACAGACUGAGGAAACUGCUCAGCUCUCAAGGGAGGCCUGUUCUCCAGCGCUCACAGUAGAUGUGGCCAAGGAGGGCCAUGGGGAGAAAGGCACUUCUCAGAGCAGGAGAUGCUCUAGCUCCAAGGAUCAUGCUUCCCGUGACGGCAUUUAAAAGCUGGAAAGCAAAAGGGGUGUCUCACCAAUCUCCCUCUUCUUGUGGGGCGAGAAACCUUUCUCAGAACACCAAGCAGACUACUGCUCAGGUCCUGAGGGCCAGGGCUGAAUCCUGUGCCCUCACCCUAGCUGCAAGGGGGGCUGGUAAAGCAGGCAUCUGGUACUUUCAGCCUUGAUUACAGGAGGUGGAUUCCGCCAGCAGGGGAGUAACAGGAGGUGUGGGAUGCCUGCUGGAUAGGCGACCCAUAGUGUUUGCCCCACCCCAAGGGUGCCGAGAGUGAGAAAUGAGAUCGUCCAGAGUGAGAUCCUGGGAACAACAACAUUUCAGGGAGCUACACAUAUGGGGUCAAGGAAAGGGAGCCUUAUUAGUUUCUGAGUAACAAGUUGCCCCGAGACUUAGUAGCUUAAAGCAACAAACAUUUAUUUUCUCAUAAUUUCUGAGGGUUGGGAACCUGGGAAUAGCUUUGCUGGUGGUUCUGUCUUAGAGUCUCUCGUGAGGGCACAGUCAAGCUGUUGGCUAGGGCUGCAUUAUCCAAAGCCUUCCUUUGGGUUGGAGGAUCUACUUCCAAGAAGGCUCACUCAUAUGUCUAUGGGUUGGAGUCCUCAGCUCCUCUCUGGCUUUUGACUGGAAGCCUCAGUUCCUUGCCAAGUGGAACUCUCCACAGGCUGCCUGAGGGUCCUCAAUAUAUGGCAGCUGGCUUCUCCCAGGGUAAGCGACCCGAGAGAGAGUGAGAGAAAGUCCAAAAUGAAGCUGCACUGUCUUUUAUAACCUAGUCUCAGAAGUGACAUACCAUCACUUCGGUCAUUUCUAUUGGUCACACUGUCCAACUCUGGUACGAUGUGGGAGGUGACAUGCAAGGUAAGCUCCAGGAAGUGGGAAUCCUUGGGGGCCGUCUUGAAGACUGGCUACCACAGAGCCUUUGAAGGAGACAGAGAAGAAGACAGCAAGAGAUAUGAGGUGAUAUCACAGAGGCCAAGGGGAGAGGGUUCCAGAACAGAAGUGUCCAAUAGUUUUCAAUACAACAGUGAGAACUAGUAGCUAAGGACUGAGAAAUGUCCAUUGGAUUUGUCAAUCAGGGUCAUUAGGAAUAUUAAGACCAAUUAAGAGCAAUGUCACUUGAGCAGUUUGCGGUGGACUGAGGUUUGAAUGGGUGGUGAGCAAGAGGACAACAGCAAGUAUGGACUACUUUUUCAAGAAGGUUGGAAGAGAAAGUUGGACAGAAGCUAGAGGGGGACAUGGGAGGAUUAGUGGAGUUUUUGGAUAUGAGAGGCCUGAGUAUAUUUUUAGGGAGAGGAGAAGCAGCCAGUGGACUGGCAGAGGUGAAGAUCUGGGAAAGGAAAAAUGACUGAUGGAGUGGCUUCUCAGAGGAGGCAGGAGAAUUGGAGGUCAAAGAUGCAGGUGGGGUGGCUGGCUUUGAACAGAGACACCUCAUCCUCUGAGGCUGCGGUGAGAGAGGCAGGAUGAGUCUGGCUGGCACAAGACCUGAGUGGGAGGAUGCCUGGGAACUGAGAACUCAUACCUAAUGGCCUCAAUCUUCUCAGAAAGAGCAGGAGGCAAGGUCACAGUGAGCAGAGAGUGAACGGUGAUGUCAAUUACCAUGGAGAUUGCUUACAUAUGAAGGAAGGCUUGGAAACAGUCUGUUUUCACAGGCAAGGCAAGCCUUUCCCUCGUGAUCUAAUCGCACUCUCUCAGCAAACUCAUUUUUCAUGGUUGGUGAUGUCUUCAAGACAACACUUGUCUGAGUUACCACGAGGUCUGGAUUAGUGGGAUUGAAAUGAAUGAGGAUGGGAGAUACCAGCACUCAGUGGGUGUAAAGAAUCGUGACAUCUCUGUGGGGCAGGAGCCUCCGAGGUAUCAUUGGACAUUCCAUUCGUGGGUUGUGUCAUCAUCAAGGGUUUGUCUAUCCUCUACUUCCACAUCCCACCAACUGGGAACUCACUAUUUCUAAGUAGAGUCUUUCCAUUUUCAAACAAAUCCUUAGGUCUUCCCUUCAGCAGGGCUGAAGUCUGACUCCCUGUGUCCCUCGGGUCCUACAGGGAGUCCCAGAACAAGUCCUCCCACCAAACUGCCCUUUGGAGUUGUUUCUCCUCUAGAAUAAAUGUCCCUUGUUCCUUCUACCCUCCCUCACAUGACAGUGUUUUCUGACCCCUCAGCAGGACUGCCUUCUCCUCCAGAUUUCCUCCAAGAAAACAGUGGUCCUCAAGAUUCAGCUGGGACCUGGCUCAGUGGCUUUCUUCUGAGCACCCAAAGUGCUUAGAAGGCUGCCAGGCGUGUGGGUAACUCGUGGAAACUCCUUCAGUAAUUGAUGAACCUUCUUCCCAGGAUGGUCCAAUCACACUGGCAGUCUUACAGGUUUUCUCUUCAUCCCUCAGCAUGAUCAAAUACUGUAUUUUGGCAUGCAGAAAGAGGUUCCAGAUUCUCAUUUUGGCAUUGUCUCUACAGGUCACUUAAAUCUCUCCAAAUUUCAGGGGAGCCUUGACAACACCUCAGGUCAGUAUUUUGGACUAUUAACCAACACUUUUCCCCCUAGCAUUUCCUCCUUCCAUACUUUGUCGCUUUCCUUCUCCUGCACCCAAAUUCUGCCCUGUGUCAUUGUCUCAGGGGAGGGGUAUGACCUCAGAGCAGAAGGAGGAGAUUCCCGGCUUUGAGUUGAAAACUCCUGGGCCGUAAGGCUGCAGCAAGGGCCACGCUAGUGAAAUCUGGAAGACAACAAGAGCAAGAGCAAUGACUCCAUCCCUCCAAUUUGAAGGGAAGGCUCCGUCUGACGGGUGUGGGUGGGAAGCUGAGGAGAGAGUCAGGAGCCACAAGAGCACACACAGCGGUGGUUUCACAGAGGGACACAGAGAGCUUUGGGGACCUCCGAGCAGAGGGGAUCUGGGUCCCAUUACAGAGAGCCCUGGGAAGUGGCAAGACUCCAAGGAAGGGAAAUGGCUUCAUGGAAUGUUCCAGCAGCAAGGUCUUAGCCAGCCUUACAGAGAUUUCCCACACACCAGGAUGGCCCCGAAGAAUAAAAAUCACCCCGCCAUUCCCAAGAGCAACAGGAGGCUAGAGAAGAAGAGAGACCAGCAAGGGGAGAAAGGCCGUCUCCACCACAACCUGCCUGGACAAUGAACAAGGACAAGCAUAGUGAUGGACAUCACAAAUGACAUUGAAGACCAGAUACCUGGACACCAUUUAAGCUUCCAGGAAAUUAGAUGCCACCAUGGAAAAGGACGGGACGGCACUGCCCAGCCCCUCCUUUCACAGGGCCUUCCAGCCUGCCUGACUGUGUCUGGCCUCACCCUGCCCUCAUCCCCAACAGCCUGCGUGGUGGGGCUGUAGCCUGGGGGUCCAGGAAACCACCCACAUCUGCACGAGAGAGGCAGCCGGAUGGAGGCCCUUGGUGGACGCGCCUUUGCAUUUUCUGUGCUGGCUCUCCCUCCUCCACUUACUGGGGCUGGGGGGAACAAUGAUUGCAGGUCAAGAUCCAGCUCCCUUUCUCUUUCCUUCUGUUUGCCUUGCAGAGAGACAACUCAGGACCUCUGAGCAGGGGCAAAGCUAGCCAGGACGAUGCAGGUGGCCCUUCCCCUCCAUACCUCAUACAACUUGGCUCACAUGGCCUCUUUGGGGGUCUGAAAAAGAUGCCCCUCUGGGCUGAGCAGCCCCACAAUCUCACAACUUGUUAAGUGGAGCAUGGAUUGACUUUCAGCUUCUACUGACCCUUUGGGCCAGGCACACUUGUUCAGUGAACAAUCAGCCCAACCAUACAUGGCAGCUGUGACCACAGACAUUGUCUUUAUCUGAGUCUCACAGGAAGCCUUAUGAGACAAGCAGGGCGGAUACUGUUGCUCCAUUUUGAUGAGGAGAAAACUGGGGCCCAGAGAUGUGUCAAGGUCACACAGCAAGUAAACAGGAGCACCAGUGCUCACCAAGUCCUUUGCACUUCCCGCCUCAUCUCUGUCAGUAGGAAACAGCCCAGGGGACUAGUCCCCACGUUGCUGUUCUUUGGCUCCUAGCCAACCACUUGUAGCUAGAUAAGGGACCCCAGACUUGUCUGAAAGUUCUGGGCCUUUCUGCUCCCAUCUGUACUGUGAAAUGCUUUUUGUCACGUCUGAGCCCAUUUUCCUGCCUUAAUUAGCAAAACGUGAUGACUUGUUUUUGACACUGAAGAAUUGCUCUGGGACCCUCCGUUCGCCCUGUGGGUACAGACACGAGGCUCAGCACGUCUGAUCCCAGGCAACUCAGGGCAUUUGUGGGUCGGGGACAAUUUUGUCCUGGAUUCAUAGUAACAACUUUCAGUUAUUGUUUUCUUUUUCUCCUUCUCCUAAAGAGGAUUUGAAAUAAACACAAGUUAAUUGAAAGGUACAUUUGGAGGCACAAAGGAGGUCUUUCUGGAUUUCAGGGAUGAGGAGGUCAGGGCUCUGAGAGGGCUGGAGCACCCCAUCUUUCAGUUCAUUUCAGUUCUGCAAGCUCCCCCUCCUGGGUCACGCCCGGCCAUCCCACCUCUCAGCUCCGGCGCAGAGCAAGCUCCUCGGCCCAAUCAUGCUCUACGUGACGAUCAUCCCCCAUCCUUUGCUCCCCACCCCACCCCGUUCCACGUCCCUCUUGGCUGCUUGGCUCCGGCAUCAUCAGCUGAACUGUUCCUGCCCAGCUGCACCUGAGGAGAGGAGCCGCAUCCGCUCCUGCACUUGCUUUCCAUGAUGAGUCUCUGCACUUGGAGCUGAUGCUGCAGUGGGAUGAGCCUUUGGGGGCCUUGGGGAGGGGGAGUGUGUUUCUGCACGUGGGAGGGUCACACAUCAUCGGGGGAGGAGGGAGCGCUGUAGGUGUUAGCCUCUCGCCUCCUGAUCGUCGUGCCCUGGCUAGUCCCCUCACACAUUGAAUGAGGACUGACCCUUGUGACAAAACAGCAGAAGUGAUAGGAUGUGACUUCCAAGGGUAGAGCAUCAUAGGCAUUGCUGCCUCUGCCUUGGCCUCUUGAAUCCCUUGCCCUGGGGGAAGCCAGCAGCCAUGUCCUGUGGAUGCUCAAGCAGCCUCGUGGAGACACCCACGUGGAGAGGAGCUGGGACCUGCCACCAAAAGCCAUUGAGCCACCUUGAAACUGGAUCUUCAAGCCCCAGUCCAGCCUUCAUAUGAGUAUGGCCCAACCAACAUCUGACUGCAACCUCACAGGAGACCGCAAGCUAGACCUGCCUAGCCAAGGCACUCCUGAAUUCCUGAGCCACAGAAACUGUGAGAGCUGAUAGGUGAUUACUGUCAUUUUAAACCACUUGUUAUGCAGUAUUUGGUCACUAAUACAUCAUUACCCACUAUCAGAAGUUCCA